AAUGAACGUUGGCGGCGUGGAUUAGGCAUGCAAGUCGAGCGGGACCCGCAAGGGUUCAGCGGCGAAAGGGAGAGGAACGCGUGGAUACCUACCCCCAGACCUGGGAUAGCCACUAGAAAUGGUGGGUAAUACCAGAUAAUGUCUCCGGACCAAAGGUGUGAUUCCGUCCGGGGAGGGGUCCGCGACCUAUUAGCUAGUUGGCGGGGUAAUGGCCCACCAAGGCAAAGAUGGGUACUGGGUGUGAGAGCACGACCCAGCUCACUGGGACUGAGACACUGCCCAGACACCUACGGGUGGCUGCAGUCGAGAAUCUUCGGCAAUGGACGCAAGUCUGACCGAGCGACGCCGCGUGCGGGAUGAAGGCCUUCGGGUUGUAAACCGCUGUCGGAGGGGAUGAAUGGCCUGAGGGUAAUCUCUCAGGUUUGACAGAUCCUAGGAGGAAGUACGGGCUAAGUUCGUGCCAGCAGCCGCCGUAAAAC
rnacentral:rRNA from 1 species